rnacentral:rRNA from 1 species
UACGAAGGGUGCAAGCGUUAAUCGGAAUUACUGGGCGUAAAGCGUGCGUAGGCGGUGAGUUAAGUCUGUCGUGAAAUCCCCGGGCUCAACCUGGGAAUGGCGAUGGAUACUGGCUCGCUAGAGUGUGAUAGAGGAUGGUGGAAUUCCCGGUGUAGCGGUGAAAUGCGUAGAGAUCGGGAGGAACAUCAGUGGCGAAGGCGGCCAUCUGGAUCAACACUGACGCUGGGGCACGAAAGCGUGGGGAGCAAACAGG